UACGUCUAAAAGCCAUUCUCUUGAGCUGACUGCGGAAGAAAUAACUCUCCUGAAACAAAAAAGAGCAAAAAGUACAAUGGAAGAGACGGGCGUUGGUACGUAAAUAACAGCAGUGAAAGUCAGCCCAAUAUCUGCAACAAUGAAGACAUCACCUCUGCUAAGAGAGGAAAGCAAUAAUAACUGGAUGCCAAGCCAAUAGAUUGCCUCAUGGACCAUCCUUGCUGGCUGGCUGGCUUCUUCUUGAGUUGGACAAAUUAAAGAUACUGGCUGGAGAGCAGAGGGCAUCAGGAGAACAAAGUUGGAGACCCUUCACUGACACCUCUCUGUUGAAGUGCUGUGCUUCUGGUGAUGACGGCAGCCUCUCUGAAAGGCUCCUCCUCAUUAUUG